GUCAGUUACAAUAAUAAGCACGACAAUAGAAACUAAAUUUUCAAGAGCUCCAAUGUAACUGGAGCCUGAAGGCAACCUGGUCAACCAUUACAUACUUAGUACUUCAGUAUUCCACGGUAUAGUACAGUACUUUUUUUUUUGAGACAGGGUCUUGCCUUGUAGUCCAGGCUGGCCCCAAACUUUCAGCGAUCUUCCUGCCUCAGCCUCCUGAGUGCUGUGAUUACAGGUGUGCACCACUAUGCCCCAGUUAGUAGUUAGCUAUUCUAAAAGACACCUCAAGUGAAGGAGAGUUAGAGAUACUUCUUCCUAGUCUAGAGCAGUCUUGCAAGUUCACACAGAACAAAUCUCUCUCUCUCUGUCUCUUAUACACACACAUACACACUUGUACACUUACAGUCUCAGACUUUCACACAUACAACUUUCUUACACAGGCACAUACUCAGAGCUCUCACACACACGCACACUCACACCUUCACUUUUAGCACACAUUUACACACCAUUUCAUAUGCACCCUUACACACCCAUGCACACAGGCCUCACACACCCAAGUAACUCUCAUUCACACAAGGCACACAUAUGCACACACUGUCACACGGUCUUUCACUGCCCUGACACACACUGCCCUCAUGGUUGGCUAGGUUCAAACUGUCACCUUCUUGGUUAUGUGGAUUAUCUUGGUUAUCUUCCCCUCGGUGGGGCUAGUUUUGACUGCAUUGAAGUAUGGCUCUGGGCAAUCGUAGUAAAGCUCCUGACCAGACAGAAAGAUCCACCUGCAGAUGGCCGGAGACGCACGUCUGGGCUGUGUUUGCCCUGGUCCGCGGCACCGUCCUUUAACUUCCAGGUGUUACGUGUAAGCCAGGAAUUCCCACACCCAGCGAGGCUCUCUAGCUGCUCCCUGCAAGUUCGGGAAGUAUUCCAGGCUCUGCAGUCCUGCGGUGCGGGCAUCCUGGAGACCAAAGCCGGGGUCACUCUGAAGAUUAGCUGUGGUCUGUGGGCCGCAGCUCCACACAACAUCAGGCUCCUUGGGUCGGCAGAAGGUGGCAGAAGAUCCUGCUUGAAAAGUGCCCGGGAGGCUGCAAUCUAGAAGACUUUCUAGUCACUCAGAAACAUCCGAGUCCUCUGUGAACCUCGACGAUUUGGAGACGACUCUUGCUAACUUUUCAGAGACAGACGACUACGUUUGUGCCUGUUUGGCCUCUGACUUGUGCAAGAGGGAUUCAGUUGCUUAUUUAUGUUGAGUUCGGGUGAAGCGAGCUGUGAGCCUGGUAGACACCAGCACAGGGGAAGACUUCCUGAGGGAGGUGGGAUUCGAGUGUGGCCUUCAAGAACCAAGGGCAUCGCCAGAGGGGAG
rnacentral:lncRNA from 1 species